AUUGAAGUCAAUAAAAAUAUGCCUCAUAUUAUGGGCGAUAAGCAUCAAAUUCACAUUAAUGACGUAGCCGCAAUAGUCAAAUCUGAUUAUCAACUAACUGAAGCAUUAAGUGUUGAUCCAAGUCCAGAACACUUGAAAAUAGCAGAUUAUGUAGCUUCAUUAAUUCAAGAUCGUUCUACGAUUCAAUUGGGUAUAGGUGCAAUUCCCAACAUGGUGUGCAAAAAACUUGUAAAUAAAAAAGACCUAGGAAUUCAUACAGAAAUCCUAGGUACUGGGAUGGUCGAACUUAUCAAACUUGGGGUGGUUAACAACAAAUAUAAAGAAAUCGACCAAGGGGUAUCAACGUUUGUAUUUGCUGUUGGAGACCAAGAUAUGUACAAAUAUCUUGAUCAUAACGAUAAAUUUAAAAUUGCACGAUUUGAUUAUGUAAAUAACCCAUUAAAUAUUGCCAAAUUCGAAAACUUUAUUUCGGUUAAUUCCGCUAUCGAAAUAGAUUUAUUAGGUAAUGUUAACGCUGAACAAAUUCAGCAUAACCAAUAUUCAGCUUCUGGUGGACAAGCAGAUUUUAUUAGAGGUGCUAGCUACUCUAAAAAUGGUAAGAGUAUCAUUGCAAUGAAAUCAACAACUAGUGAUUGCAAAAUUUCUAAGAUUGUAACCAGACUUAAAGGGGUUACAACAACACUAAGAAAUGAUUUAGAUUAUGUAAUAACCGAAUAUGGAAUUAUUAACUUAAAAGCUAAAUCAGUAAAACAACGCGCAAAAUUGCUAAUUAGUAUUGGCCAUCCUAAGUUUAGAUCUUAUUUAACUAGAGUUGCUAGAUCUAAACUACUUAUUGAUUAAUCUAUUUAAUAAUCUUGGUAAUUUUACCACCACCUACUACUCAUAAAUUUUGAUCAUAAAUAACACCAUACUGUCCAGGAGUUGCCCCGAUCUGUUUGGUGUACUUAACUAUCACUUUAUCAUCAUUAUAUGAAACAAUUUUGCACUCUUGUAACUUUUGGCGGUGUCUAAAUCUGAUUCAUAACUUCUUACUAAUUAAUUGAUCUUUAGUAUCAAUUAAUCAAUUAAAGUUUUCUAGUUCACAACUAACUGAACUUAGAUAUUGAUCUUUACUUGAUUCAUAACAAACAUAUAACGUAUUGUUGUUAUAAUCUUUGUCACAGACAAAGAUUUUCUCUCUAGUCCCUCCAACAUGGAGUCUUCGAGAUUGACCUAUUGUAUAAAAAUACAAUCCGUCGUGUUCACCAAUUUUUUUAU
rnacentral:antisense_RNA from 1 species